rnacentral:tRNA from 1 species
GAGAUAUUAGUAAAAUAAAAAUUACAUCACCUUGUCAAGAUGAAGUCGCGGGUUAGAUUCCUGCAUAUCUUA